rnacentral:rRNA from 1 species
UACGAAGGGUGCAAGCGUUACUCGGAAUUACUGGGCGUAAAGCGUGCGUAGGUGGUUCGUUAAGUCUGUCGUGAAAGCCCCGGGCUCAACCUGGGAAUGGCGAUGGAUACUGGCGAGCUAGAGUGCGGUAGAGGAGAGUGGAAUUCCCGGUGUAGUGGUGAAAUGCGUAGAGAUCGGGAGGAACACCAGUGGCGAAGGCGGCUCGCUGGGCCGGUCCUGACACUGAGGCGCGAAGGCGUGGGGAGCGAACGGG